CCAGCGCCUUCAGCCGCUGGCAGCAGAGAGGAAGAGGCCUAAGGUACCACACUGCAUUUACAGACAACAAAUAUUUGCAACUUCAAGUUACUCAACAGGUGCGUUUCAGGAGGUAGACAGCAGCGUGGAGCCCCCCCACGUUCACCCACACAGUCUGGCCCCUGCGCCAGAUGUGUCCCAGUCGUGACAAGGCCUGCAACCCAAAACACAGCCAAAGAGUGGUGGCAGCUUCAAGGAACAGCUGUGAAUGUUCCUCUGGGAGAGGAUGUGCAUGGCUUUGGAGGGUGACUUCAGCUGCCUUCCCCACGGUUGGACCCCUGUGUCCCGUGCCGUGGGCCUUGCUGCCCUUUCCCUGAAGCUCCAGCGGCACCUCCAGAUGACAGCAGAGACGCAGCUUUGCCUGCCCCAUCUUGGUAAUCUCCCCGAGGAAAUCAGAGCACUGUGUUGCAUGCUAUUGUGACCAAAGGUGUGUCACAUCCUCAGUGCUCCUCUCACCCUCAGGGCAGCCACCCACGCUUGAACCAGUCCAGCAAGAAAACAAAAAUCUGCCCUGUGACACAGGCUGUUAUUAGAAAUAUUUGGUAUCUGCUCUCCUAAUACCUGUGAAUGCUACAAGGAGAGGUAACUGCUGCUGGGAUUCAUCUAUUAUAAAAUGGCCUGUGUUUCUUCA